rnacentral:rRNA from 1 species
UUUCCCUCAGGAUAGCUGGCACUCGUUUUUUUAACGAGUCUCAUCUGGUAAAGCGAAUGAUUAGAGGCCUUGGGGCCGAAACGACCUCAACCUAUUCUCAAACUUUAAAUGGGUGAGAUCUCUGGCUUGCUUGAAUUGUGAAGCCAUGAGAUAAGGGGAGUCUCCUCGUGGGGCUCCCCAUCGGAUCAGAGUGCCAAGUGGGCCAAUUUUGGUAAGCAGAACUGGCGCUGUGGGA